CCUACGGGGUGCAGCAGUGAGGAAUAUUGGUCAAUGGACGAGAGUCUGAACCAGCCACGUAGCGUGAAGGAUGAAUGCCCUAUGGGUUGUAAACUUCUUUUAUAUGGGAAUAAAAUGUUCCACGUGUGGGAUUUUGUAUGUACCCUAUGAAUAAGGAUCGGCUAACUCCGUGCCAGCAGCCGCGGUAAUACGGAGGAUCCGAGCGUUAUCCGGAUUUAUUGGGUUUAAAGGGAGCGUAGGUGGAUUGUUAAGUCAGUUGUGAAAGUUUGCGGCUCAACCGUAAAAUUGCAGUUGAAACUGGCAGUCUUGAGGACAGUAGAGGUGGGCGGAAUUCGUGGUGUAGCGGUGAAAUGCUUAGAUAUCACGAAGAACUCCGAUUGCGAAGGCAGUUCACUGGACUGCAACUGACACUGAGGCUCGAAAGUGUGGGUAUCAAACAGGAUUAGAUACCCUUGUAGUC
rnacentral:rRNA from 1 species